rnacentral:rRNA from 1 species
UACGUAGGCAGCGAGCGUUGUUCGGAGUUACUGGGCGUAAAGGGUGUGUAGGCGGUUGUUUAAGUUUGGUGUGAAAUCUCCCGGCUCAACUGGGAGGGUGCGCCGAAUACUGAAUGACUUCGAGUGCGGGAGAGGAGAGUGGAAUUCCGUGGUGUAGCGGUGAAAUGCGUAGAUAUCAGGAGGAACACCGGUGGUGUAGACGGCUCUCUGGACCGUAACUGACGCUGAGACACGAAAGCGUGGGUAGCAAACAGG